rnacentral:misc_RNA from 1 species
AACCUAGCACACCUGCGGUGUGUACCUGCGGAAGGAUCAUUACACAAUACAAUAUGAAGGCUGUCCGCAGCUGGAGUAUUUUAUUACCCUUGUCUUUUGCGCACUUGUUGUUUCCUGGGCGGGUUCGCUCGCCACCAGGACCACCAAAUAGACCUUUUUUAUGCAGUUGCAAUCAGCGUCAGUACAAACAAUGUAAAUCAUUUACAACUUUCAACAACGGAUCUCAGAUCGGAAGAGCAC